rnacentral:misc_RNA from 1 species
ACCCGCAAUUCUCACGAACGACGAUGUUCUCGGCCGGACGCCAUGGCGCUCACUUAUCGUUCACAACGACUUUUGGGGUAAUCCGAUCGGUUUACAAGGAUCCCAUAAAAGCUAUCGCCCAUUGAUCACCGCCUCGUUUCGCCUUCAAUUUGCCGUUCAUGGAUUGAAAGCCGAAUUAUUUCAUGGGGUCAAUUUGAUAUGCCAUAUGAUCAAUUCCAUGUUGGUGUUGAAACUCGCCAGGCAGAUGAGGAUAAUGGGAAAUGAAUUCUCCCUCCUCUCCGCUCUAAUCUUUGCUUGCCACCCAAUAACUUCCGAAGCAGUUUGCUCAAUUGUCGGUAGAGCAGACUUGCUGAGCACAAUGCUAAUUUUACUGGCAAUCACAUGUCAUACCUCGGAUCCAAGUACCUUCCGAACAAUUGUGCUGUCAAUAUUGGCAGUAACAGCUAAAGAAACUGGAAUUAUCUUGCUGCCGCUGAUAACUCUCUACGAUGUUUUGUUCAAGACCUCCAACACCAAACAAUUCCGCCGUGACGUCACUGCCUACCUCAUAUCCCUUCUUGCUCUCUGCUACCUUCGACUAUCAAUUAACAAUUUCCAAUCCCCAAAGUUUUCCAAAAAUGACAAUCCAAUUGCUCACGAGCCGAACAGUCUCACGAGAGCCUUGACAUUCAUGUAUCUGCCGGUUUUCCACCUAAACCUCAUAGUUUUUCCAAAAACUUUGUCCUAUGACUGGUCGAUGGACGCAAUUCCAAAAGUCGAAUCGCUAAUUGAUUCGCGGAUUAUUUUGACGUUUAUUGUGAUUGGAGUCGGAGAACACGUUCUAUUAAAACUGCUGUUGGGACUCAGAAAUUCUGAAAAUUCUCAUGAAAAUCGAUCCUUACUAUUCCUAUUUGCUCUCUUCACAACUCCUCAUAUUUUAUCUUCGAAUCUUUUGACUCAUGUUGGAUUUGUGGCUGCCGAGAGAAUACUGUACCUGAAUACGGUAGCCUACUGUAUUUUAGCAGCGUUUCUGGCAGAAAUGUGCAGUAAGAGAUCCAGUCCAAAAUCCGUCUUACCAUUAUAUAUACUACUUCUCUCACUGUUCACAAUUAGAACCAUGCAACGUGUGGACGACUGGAAAACUGAAGAAUCCUUAUUCAAAAGUGCUCUUGAAGUUAAUCCAACCAAGGCAAAUAUGAACUUGGGAUACGUUUACACUACGCAGAAAAAAUAUGAAUUGGCAAAAUAUCAUUAUCGGCAAGCACUGAAGAGACAGGGAAAUCUAGCCGAUGCCUGGUACAAUUUGGGAAUCCUAACUAGCAAGACUUCCAACAACUCCAAUGGCUCUAUACACUGCUAUCAAAUGGCUCUUCAAUCUCGUUCAACCUAUGCAGCUGCUCAUCUCAACUUGGCUCUGCUUCUUCACGACGCAGGCCACCACAUGGCAGCGUUCUCCCAUCUCGACAAGUGCCUGAACAACACCGGAGAAUUUCUGAAAUUCUAUCAUGUCAACCGAAAAACUCAAGCGACAUGCGCCUUUAACAAAGGCCGACUACUACAAAAGUCUGGAAACUUCCACGUGGCAAUUGAGAACUUCGAGUUGGCGCUGAAGCUUGGCGGGCCACAUUUCGAGCACACUCCGAGUGUUCUGAAUUCAAUGGGUACUUGUUACAAUGAGCUCGGCGAUGAGCAAUCGGCGGAGAAGUUUUUCGGCAAGGCGAUCGGCGAGAAUCAUGUCAACUCGUAUUUGACAAUGGCGCAUUUGAAAAUUCGGCAGAAUAGAAGCUUCGAGGUGGAGAAUUUGCUUCGAAAAGCGAUGACACUUGCUCCGGAAUCUGUGACAGUGCUUCAGAAUAUUGCAUUAGCCGAGUUUCAUAUGCAAAACUACAAUCGCUCGUUGCUCUUCUAUCGAAAAGCUCUCCAUCUGGAUCCAACUCAUCUCGACUCUCUGCAAGGAAUCGCGAAUCUUCUGCAACAAACUCAGAACCACGUGGAAUCUGAAACUUUCUACAGAAAAGUGAUGGAAGCUCAACCGAAUUCGUAUGCGGCUCACGCCAACUACGGAGCAAUUCUUCAUCUUAAUCAGAAGUACGAUUUGGCUCUGAAAGAAUACGAAAUCGCACUGAUCUUGGAUCCAACGAGUGACGUGGCACGAGAAAAUCGCAAGAAAGUGAUUCGGAUCUUACGGAGGAAAAGAAAUUUGUAAUUAAUAUUAAAUAACUAUUUUAAAAUCGGUGACUACUUACGGGUUAGAAUCUACUGAAAACUACGUGUAUUUGAAAUAAACUAUUCCAAAUU